rnacentral:rRNA from 1 species
CACGUAGGGCGGCGAGUGUUGUCCGGAAUUAUUGGGCGUAAAGAGCUCGUAGGCGGCCUGUUGCGUCCGCUGUGAAAGCCCGGGGCUUAACCCCGGGUCGGCAGUGGAUACGGGCAGGCUAGAGGUAGGUAGGGGAGAAUGGAAUUCCCCGGUGUAGCGGUGAAAUGCGCAGAUAUCAGGAGGAACACCAAUGGCGAAGGCAGCUCGCUGGGACGGUACUGACGCUGAGACGCGAAAGCGUGGGGGAGCAAACAGG